rnacentral:rRNA from 1 species
UACGGGGGGGGCAAGCGUUGUUCGGAAUUACUGGGCGUAAAGGGCUCGUAGGUGGCCAACUAAGUCAGACGUGAAAUCCCUCGGCUUAACCGGGGAACUGCGUCUGAUACUGGAUGGCUUGAGGUUGGGAGAGGGAUGCGGAAUUCCAGGUGUAGCGGUGAAAUGCGUAGAUAUCUGGAGGAACACCGGUGGCGAAGGCGGCAUCCUGGACCAAUAUUGACGCUGAGGAGCGAAAGCCAGGGGAGCAAAGCGGG